UACGUAGGGCGCAAGCGUUAUCCGGAAUUAUUGGGCGUAAAGAGCUCGCAGGCGGUUUGUCGCGUCUGCCGUGAAAGCCCGGGGCUCAACUCCGGAUCUGCGGUGGGUACGGGCAGACUAGAGUGAUGUAGGGGAGACUGGAAUUCCUGGUGUAGCGGUGAAAUGCGCAGAUAUCGGGAGGAACACCGAUGGCGAAGGCAGGUCUCUGGGCAUUAACUGACGCUGAGGAGCGAAAGCAUGGGGAGCGAACAGG
rnacentral:rRNA from 1 species